rnacentral:rRNA from 1 species
AUACGGAGGAUCCGAGCGUUAUCCGGAUUUAUUGGGUUUAAAGGGAGCGUAGGCGGAUUGUUAAGUCAGUUGUGAAAGUUUGCGGCUCAACCGUAAAAUUGCAGUUGAAACUGGCAGUCUUGAGUACAGUAGAGGUGGGCGGAAUUCGUGGUGUAGCGGUGAAAUGCUUAGAUAUCACGAAGAACUCCGAUCGCGAAGGCAGCUCACCGGGCCGGAACUGACACUGAUGCUCGAAAGUGCGGGUAUCAAACAGGAUUAGAUACCCUGGUAGUCCGCACAGUAAACGAUGAAUACUCGCUGUUUGCGAUACACGGUAAGCGGCCAAGCGAAAGCGUUAAGUGAUCCACCUGGGGAGUACGCCGGCAACGGUGAAACUCAAAUGAAUUGACGGGG